rnacentral:lncRNA from 1 species
GGACAUUUGACAUUGACCCUUUGUUCCGUCUGUUUGUCGAUCUCCAUUUCGACAAAGACUAAAAAUGGUUGCACAAAAAAAAUUCACCGACG